rnacentral:rRNA from 1 species
CUAUGCAUGCAGUCGAGCGACGCAUACCGGAGGGGUAACCCACUGGUAUGACGGAGCGGCGAACGGGUGAGUAACACGUGAGUAACCUGCCCCACAGACCGGGACAGCCCAGGGAAACCUGGAUUAAUACCGGAUAUCCUCGAAGGAUCGCAUGAUCUUUCGAGGAAAUGCCUUUGUGCUGUGGGAUGGGCUCGCGACUUAUCAGCUAGUUGGUGGGGUAACGGCCUACCAAGGCGUCGACGAGUAGCUGGUCUGAGAGGACGAUCAGCCACACUGGGACUGAGACACGGCCCAGACUCCUACGGGAGGCAGCAGCAGGGAAUCUUGCGCAAUGGGCGAAAGCCUGACGCAGCAACGCCGCGUGGGGGAUGAAGGCCUUCGGGUUGUAAACCCCUUUCAGGAGGGAAGAAAUUGACGGUACCUCCAAAAGAAGCACCGGCCAACUACGUGCCAGCAGCCGCGGUAAUACGUAGGGUGCGAGCGUUAUCCGGAAUCAUUGGGCGUAAAGAGCUCGUAGGCGGUUCAGUAAGUCGGCUGUGAAAUUUCGAGGCUCAACCUCGAAACUGCAGUCGAAACUGCUGUGACUCGAGUCCGGUAGAGGAGAAUGGAAUUCCCGGUGUAG